rnacentral:rRNA from 1 species
GACGAACGCUGGCGGCGUGCUUAACACAUGCAAGUCGAACGAUGACGACCGAGCUUGCUCGGUCUGAUUAGUGGCGAACGGGUGAGUAACACGUGAGCAACCUGCCCUUCACUCUGGGAUAACCUCGGGAAAUCGGGGCUAAUACCGGAUAUGAGCUCCUGUCGCAUGGCGGGUGAUGGAAAGUUUUUCGGUGAAGGAUGGGCUCGCGGCCUAUCAGUUUGUUGGUGAGGUAGUGGCUCACCAAGGCGAUGACGGGUAGCCGGCCUGAGAGGGCGACCGGCCACACUGGGACUGAGACACGGCCCAGACUCCUACGGGAGGCAGCAGUGGGGAAUAUUGCACAAUGGGCGAAAGCCUGAUGCAGCGACGCCGCGUGAGGGAUGACGGCCUUCGGGUUGUAAACCUCUUUCAGCAGGGAAGAAGCGAAAGUGACGGUACCUGCAGAAGAAGCGCCGGCUAACUACGUG